AGCAGCCGCGGUAAUUCCAGCUCCAAUAGCGUAUAUUAAAGUUGCUGCAGUUAAAAAGCUCGUAGUUGAAUUUCGGGACUAAUAUAUCGGUCGUGCCUCGGUACGUACUGGUAUUUUUGGUUUCUCCCUUCUGACGAACCUUGAUGUCAUUAAUUUGGUGUCUUGGGAAAUCAGGACUGUUACUUUGAAAAAAUUAGAGUGUUUAAAGCAGGCUCACGCUUGAAUACAUUAGCAUGGAAUAAUGAAAUAGGACGUUUGAUUCUAUUUUGUUGGUUUCUAGGAUCGACGUAAUGAUUAAUAGGGAUAGUUGGGGGCAUUAGUAUUCAAUUGUCAGAGGUGAAAUUCUUGGAUUUAUUGAAGACUAACUACUGCGAAAGCAUUUGCCAAGGAUGUUUUCAUUAAUCAAGAACGAAAGUUAGGGGAUCGAAGACGAUCAGAUACCGUCGUAGU
rnacentral:rRNA from 1 species